rnacentral:rRNA from 1 species
GAUGAACGCUGGCGGCGUGCCUAAUACAUGCAAGUCGCGCGAACAGACGAGGAGUUUGCUCCACUGACGUUAGCGGCGGACGGGUGAGUAACACGUGGAUAACCUACCUAUCAUACUGGGAUAACUUAGGGGAACCGGAGCUAAUACCGGAUGAAAUAUUGCCCCGCAUGGCUCCAUAGUGAAAGACGGUUUUGGUGUGACUUAUAGAUGGAUCCGCGCCGCAUUAGCUAGUUGGUAAGGUAACGGCUUACCAAGGCAACGAUGCGUAGCCGACGUGAGAGGGGGGUCGGCCACACUGGAACUGAGACGAGGUCCAGACCCCUACGGGAGGCAGCAGGAGGGUAACGUCCGCAAGUGGAGAAACCCUGACGUGGCAACGCCGCGUGAGGGAUAAAGGUCUUCGGAUCGGGAAACUAUGCUAUUAUUGAAGGACAAAUGUGUAAGUAACGAGGCACGUCUUGACGGUACCUAAUCAGAAAGCCACGGCUAACUACGUG